rnacentral:rRNA from 1 species
CCUACGGGUGGCAGCAGUCGAGAAUCAUUCACAAUGGGGGAAACCCUGAUGGUGCGACGCCGCGUGGGGGAAUGAAGUUCUUCGGAUUGUAAACCCCUGUCAUGUGGGAGCAAAUUAAAAAGAUAGUACCACAAGAGGAAGAGACGGCUAACUCUGUGCCAGCAGCCGCGGUAAUACAGAGGUCCCAAGCGUUGUUCGGAAUCACUGGGCGUAAAGCGUGCGUAGGGUGUUUCGUAAGGCGUGUGUGAAAGGCGCGGGCUCAACCCGCGGACGGCACAUGAUACUGCGAGACUAGAGUAAGGGAGGGGGAAGCGGAAUGCUCGGUGUAGCAGUGAAAUGCGUAGAUAUCGAGAGGAACACUCGUGGCGAAGGCGGGUUCCUGGACAUUAACUGACGCUGAGGCACGAAGGCCAGGGGAGCGAAAGGGAUUAGAUACCCGAGUAGUC